rnacentral:lncRNA from 1 species
UAAUAGUGGGAUAUUACUUCACUAUUGAUUCGUACGUGAAUAUAAUUAUUCCUAUUUGUCGGUCACAUACUUCGUUCGGCACGCCUCCACGACAAACUUUCCUAGCAACAAUUUAAACUCAGUAUACUUAAUCACACAUUUGUAUGGGUGGCAACUUAAUUAAAAAUUCCUUAAGCAACUUGCAUAUUUUUCAUUCAAAAUAUGCACAAUAUUAAACUACCCAUAAAUCUUAAAAUAUAACAUUAACUUACCAUUGGGCCUUUUUUAUUUCUUUACGACCUUU